UACGUAGGGUGCAAGCGUUGUCCGGAAUUAUUGGGCGUAAAGAGCUCGUAGGCGGUCUGUCGCGUCUGCUGUGAAAACUCAGGGCUUAACCGUGAGCUUGCAGUGGGUACGGGCAGACUAGAGUGCGGUAGGGGAGACUGGAAUUCCUGGUGUAGCGGUGAAAUGCGCAGAUAUCAGGAGGAACACCGGUGGCGAAGGCGGGUCUCUGGGCCGUAACUGACGCUGAGGAGCGAAAGCGUGGGGAGCGAACAGG
rnacentral:rRNA from 1 species